rnacentral:rRNA from 1 species
CCUACGGGAGGCAGCAGUGGGGAAUAUUGGGCAAUGGGCGCAAGCCUGACCCAGCAACGCCGCGUGAAGGAAGAAGGCUCUCGGGUUGUAAACUUCUUUUCUCAGGGACGAAGCAAGUGACGGUACCUGAGGAAUAAGCAACGGCUAACUACGGGCCAGCAGCCGCGGUAAUACGUAGGUGGCAAGCGUUAUCCGGAUGUACUGGGUGUAAGGCGCGUGUAGGCGGGGACGCAAGUAAGAUGUGAAAACCACGGGCUCAACCUGUGGCAGGCAUUUGAAACUGGGUUUCUUGAGUCCUGGAGAGGCAGACGGAAUUCCUGGUGUAGCGGUGAAAUGCGUAGAUAUUAGGAGGAACACCAGUGGCGAAGGCGGUCUGCUGGACAGCAACUGACGCUGAGGCGCGAAGGCGUGGGGAGCAAACAGGAUUAGAUACCCUAGUAGUC